rnacentral:tRNA from 1 species
GCGGUUGUGGCGAAACUGGCAGACGCGCUACUUUGAGGGGGUAGUGUCCAUUGGACGUGUGGGUUCAAAUCCCAUCAACCGCACCA